CAAGAAGUAGUUUAAUUAGAAUACCAGCUUUGGGUGCUGGUGGUGGGGAGUAGCUCCUUCUUCUUGA
rfam:Mus musculus domesticus mitochondrial DNA type 30 control region and flanking tRNA genes.